GGGAAUAUAGCUCAGUUGGUAGAGUGUUUGCUUUGCAUGCAUGAGGUCCUGGGUUCAAUCCCCUGCAUCA
rnacentral:tRNA from 1 species